GUUCCCCACCUGGAAUGCGUCCUGGCUUCGGCUGGCCCGGCCCAACCCUCAGCGGCCGCGGUGCCCAGGCCCACUCCUUCCGCGCCUGGAAACGUGAGACGGGUCACUGAGGACGACGUAGGCAAACUUUGCAGAGCACGUUGCCACCUGUUGGAGUAGCCGCUCCAGCCCCAGUCGAAAUGCACGGCCGAACAAUGGCAGUUCUGAGUGGCUCAGGGGCCCACACUUUCUUUAAAACCGAUGCACUCGUAGUAAUAUUUCUUAUGCCCCACAUCCAGAGGCCUGUGCUCACCACCUCAGCAGUGCCCGGGGAGGUUCGCCAGGCGUGGGCAGGCUCUCCCUUGAAAGCACCUGACCUGGUUCUACCUUGCACUGGGGCUGAAUGGGAAUUACAUGGGAAUCUCUUAUUGUAAUGCAUGAACAGAUUUCACAAGAAAAGGGAACAGGACUGGACCGCUGGCUGUUCCUUCUUUGAUCCCAGGCAUGAUUUCAGCUUGUAGAAUAAAUGAGAAAUGCCUGUUGGUUUAAUUAAAAGAACCGCAUUGGCUGUGCUAGCCUGCCUGCCUUCUGGUGCCCAAGCAAGUGUACUGAUAAAGGAAUCAAAAGCUGCACACUCAAUUGUCCCAGGGUUUUCUCAUCUAUCUUGACAGCUUUUGAGAAUAUAAGUCAAUUUCUCAAAAGCGGUUUAUUGUAAGCCUUGAAAUAUCCAGUUUCCUACCUGGUACCUUAAAUCAUUACUUUUUCCGUAGGGAUAACUGGUGAACUAUCUCCAAAAUAUAUCCUUCUUGUCCGUUGACUCAGAUAGCUCAUUGGGAAGAAGCCAGCUGUCUCCUCUGGGAUGCUGGCUGGCCUUUGAGGUGGGCCCUGGAGCUACUGCCUGGGGAUCAAUGUACUACCACAACACAGACUAAAUUCCUGGUCCCUUGGGAUAUACCUCCAGUGUAAGACCUCCAGGAAGGACUCCUGCUAGGCCCAAUCACAGAGACUAGUAGGUGUGGUCAGAAAGCCCGGGGCACAGCCUGAUUGGUCAUUGUACAGGCGCGUUACCACUAAGGCUGAGCUUUAGGAGAAGAGCAAGACAAUAUCAAUGGCUAGUGGGGUUCACAUGAAGGCAAGACAUGGACAGCUGCUCCUUCAUCCGUGUUUUUAUCCCCAAGGAACAGCUUUGUGAAAGUGCUCUGUGCUCUCAAGCUGUUGCCAGCAGGGUCUGUCUCUUCAGCGUGGCUUUUAAGAGGAAAGUGCAGCAAACUGGAGCCUUAGCAAAAGGCUGCUCGCUAGCAUGAGAAGCAUUUGAUUCCAGCUUGGAAACAAGGGGUGGGGCAAAGCCUUUUUACCACCUCCACCCCAUCUCUCCCUCUCUCCCUUUCAGAAAGGCAGAUUUAUCUAGUGGUGCAUCCCUUGCCUUCAUGUCAGAGUGUCAGCUUUGUCAUAUUCCUGACUGUUGUUACUAGAAUUUUUUUAAGAUUUAUUUAUUUUAAGAUGUAUUUAUAGAUACUUUUUGCCUGCACACAUAUCUCUGUGGGGGUGCUCUGGAACUAGAGUAUGUGGGUUGUGGGAAUUGAACCCCAGUCCUCUGGAGGAGCAGCCAGUGUUCUUAAUCACUGAGCCAUCUCUCCAGUCCCAAUUACUGGAAUUUCAUAUGAAAGCAAAACCACGGCAUAAAUCUUAGCAAAUUUGAAUUCCAUACUUUUUACCUUUUUCCAUUCACCAGAGAUGAGAUGCAGGUAUAUUCACGUUAAAACAAAAAUGCAAACAAGUCAGAUAAUUAAAAGGAAAUCCAGAUGAUGCUCUCAAACCUGAAGAAACACUUGUGGAGCCAGAUGGAAGCAGAGUAGAGUUGGACUCUGUCACCAUCCCAAGGGAACGAAGCAUCAUGGGCUCUGAUUUGUUCACUUGUUUCUUUAUGUGCGUAUGUACAGGAAUGUAUACUUGUGCUUGCAUGGAAGUCAGAAGAGAGCAUCCUGUCUCCCUCUCCAUCACUGUCUUCUUCCUCUGAGCCAGGGUCUGUCCCUCAACCCAAGGCUCUUGGUCUUCUUGGUUAGGCUAGAAGGCAGCAAGUCCCAGCAAUCCCCCAGUCUCCGGCCCCUUAAUGGAUCAGUCUGGGGGUGUAGAGUGUCUGUGGGAUCCAAACUUGAGAUCGUAGCAAGCGAUCUUAACUGUUGAGCCCUCUUUCCAACUGCUCCCUGUCUUGACAGCAAGAAAAAUCCCAACAUAUACUCUGAGGUCAUGUUGGAACCAUGUGUUUGGAGACAGCAGAGGUUUGGGACAAUCUUUCCAAUCAGGAUGACUCACAGCUGUGAUCAGGGCUUUCUCUUUUAUCAGCUAUACUAUCAGAAAAGAAGACCCUUGUGAGCACAGUGUCUGCCUCAAGCUCUUCAUCUUUUCCACUGUUACAAAAUCUCUGGGGGAGGAUUACACACAGGAUCAUGAGUCCUGUGUAUGAAAUUAUGAUGACUUAUGAAUGAUUACAUUCAUCACAAUUACUGUGAAUAAAAAAUGUUAUGUUUU
ensembl:lincRNA Gm4890 predicted gene 4890